CACGUAGGGCGCAAGCGUUGUCCGGAAUUAUUGGGCGUAAAGAGCUCGUAGGCGGUCUGUUGCGUCCGCUGUGAAAACUCGGGGCUUAACCCCGAGCCUGCAGUGGAUACGGGCAGACUAGAGGUAGGUAGGGGAGAAUGGAAUUCCCGGUGUAGCGGUGAAAUGCGUAGAUAUCGGAAGGAACACCGGUGGCGAAAGCGGCGCGCUGGAUCUCUUCUGACGCUGAGGCGCGAAAGCCAGGGGAGCAAACGGG
rnacentral:rRNA from 1 species